rnacentral:lncRNA from 1 species
GCGGAGGGCAGGGGCAGGGCUUGGCGGCGGGGGUGGCUGGAGAGCAGCAGCGGCCGGAAGCUGGGCAUGGCCAUGGCGCUGUGCAGCCAUGAAGUUGCAUCGUGAGGAAGAAGAAAGGAAGGAGAGAAAAAGAAAAAGAGAAAAAGAAAAGAAAAUAAAAGAAAAGAGAGAUGAGCCGUUAGAUGAGAGAUGGAUGGCUGAGAUUAGAAGAUAUCUUUUCGGUACACUUAAGUGGAGACGGGUUUCAGUAGAACACGCCUCCUCGCAGAGAAAACGCACUCCGCGGAAGAAAAGAAAAAGAAAUAAAGAAAUAGUUUUUCUGGGUCUCUAAAUCGUCAGAAAUUCACAUAAGGCAAAUAAAAUACCAAACGGAUUCGGAAAAAUUCCAGAAAAUUCCACGAAUGCUAAUUAACUGUUUAGAACGUAAUAAAAGUAAUUUCCUCAUGGAAUAAAAUACUUCAAUAGGUUUUAUAGCACAUGAACCUCAAAUAAAUUCCAAAUAAAUCCAGAAAAAUAUAUCUACGUUCCAAUAAAUUGCCGAAUGGGUAUGUAACACAAAAUAAACCUUAGGUGUACCAAAUUGAAUGUUCUCCAACUUUAUAAUCUGGAAAGUCACGUUAUUCCUUCUCAUUAACAAAUAGGCAUGUGUCGGAAAAUCAUAUAAUUGAUUUUAACGCCAAACCAAAAACAUGGAGAGUUUUGAAAAUGUUUUCUCAACUAUAGGAUUAGGAAAGUCAUGUUAUUCCCACUCUUUAAUAAAGGUUGGAAAAUCAUCUUCACGCCAGGAUGUCAUGUUACCCACUUCUCCUUAUUUGAUCAAUUACUUUGAAAAGAGUAUACCGACAUAGUAAUCAACCAAUAUAUAAGUGAAAUAUUAAAUAUGUUUUCCAACUGUAUACUUGGGAAAGUCAUAUUAUUCCCUCUCUUUAUCAUUUAAUAAAUGUUGGAAAACAUUCCAAAUUGAUUCAAUAAUUCCAACAAUGCUCUCAAACGGUCAUGGCAUC